rnacentral:rRNA from 1 species
CAGCAGCCGCGGUAAUACGAAGGGUGCAAGCGUUACUCGGAAUUACUGGGCGUAAAGCGUGCGUAGGUGGUGGUUUAAGUCCGUUGUGAAAGCCCUGGGCUCAACCUGGGAAUUGCAGUGGAUACUGGGUCACUAGAGUGUGGUAGAGGAUAGUGGAAUUUCCGGUGUAGCAGUGAAAUGCGUAGAGAUCGGAAGGAACAUCUGUGGCGAAGGCGACUAUCUGGGCCAACACUGACAUUGAGGCACGAAAGCGUGGGGAGCAAACAGGAUUAGAUACCCCCGUAGUCCCUGUCUCUUAUAC